AGUAUAAGGAAUUUUAAGUUUUUACUUGCAACGUUUGACCACUCGUCUUAUUCAAUUUUUUUUUGAAAUUAUUAUUUAUUUUAUUUGUGACUUACUUUAUUAUUCACAGUACUUUAAGCAUAAUUUUUCGUUUUUUAUAUUUGCAAAAAAAGUUUGAAUAAGACGAGUGGUCAAACGUUGCAAGCCAAAACUUAAAAUCCCUUAUA
rfam:Oryza sativa Japonica Group DNA, chromosome 7, cultivar: Nipponbare, complete sequence.